rnacentral:rRNA from 1 species
UACGGAGGGGGCUAGCGUUGUUCGGAAUUCCUGGGCGUAAAGCGCACGUAGGCGGCUUUGCAAGUUAGAGGUGAAAGCCCGGAGCUUAACUCCGGAAUUGCCUUUAAAACUGCAUCGCUAGAAUUGUGGAGAGGUGAGUGGAAUUCCGAGUGUAGAGGUGAAAUUCGUAGAUAUUCGGGAGAACACCAGUGGCGAAGGCGACUCACUGGACACAUAUUGACGCUGAGGUGCGAAAGCGUGGGGAGCAAACAGG